UGGGGAAUAUUGGACAAUGGGCGCAAGCCUGAUCCAGCAAUGCCGCGUGUGUGAAGAAGGCCUUCGGGUUGUAAAGCACUUUUAUCAGGAGCGAAACGCUGUCGGCUAAUACCCGGCGGAACUGACGGUACCUGAGGAAUAAGCACCGGCUAACUUCGUGCCAGCAGCCGCGGUAAUACGAAGGGUGCAAGCGUUAAUCGGAAUUACUGGGCGUAAAGCGUGCGUAGGCGGUUUCUUAAGUCUGCUGUGAAAUCCCCGGGCUCAACCUGGGAAUGGCAGUGGAUACUGGGAGGCUAGAGUGUGUCAGAGGGUGGUGGAAUUCCCGGUGUAGCGGUGAAAUGCGUAGAGAUCGGGAGGAACAUCAGUGGCGAAGGCGGCCACCUGGGACAACACUGACGCUGAGGCACGAAAGCGUGGGGAGCAAACAGGAUUAGAUACCCUGGUAGUCCACGCCCUAAAACGAUGCGAACUGGAUGUUGGUCUCAACUCGGAGAUCAGUGUCGAAGCUAACGCGUUAAGUUCGCCGCCUGGGGAGUACGGUCGCAAGACUGAAACUCAAAUGAAUUGACGGGGUCAUAGCUGUUUCCU
rnacentral:rRNA from 1 species